UGUAGAUUGAAAAACAUAUGGUUACAGAAGCAAUUAGAUCUAGCUGUAGAAAUCACCCUUUCCCACCAAAAAAAAAGAAUAAUAUUUACUUGCAAAGCUUAAUGUGGAGGUUUACAACUCGAACCUAAUCCUCUCUUAUGUUGAUCCUCUAGAAUAUAAAUGUUGUAACAUGUUUGUAUAAAAUUCUCAUUUGAGUCACAUUUAAUAACAAUAAUGUGACCAGAAAUGAUCCAUUAAGUCAACCAACAUUCCACUUGAAACACCAAAACUGAUUUUGGGACAAUUGGCAUGUAGGUGUUUCAAAGCAGUAUAAACCCUUACCAUGGUGCUCAAAAAAUCUCUCCUUUUCAGCCAUGCCAUCAAUUAUACUUGGCCACAUCAAUGCUGCUUCUGGACUCUCAUUCAGCUUCAUUGGCAUGGAAUUCACUAAUAUGUUAACUUCAUUCAACAUGUUGGCACAAGUAUAAAGUUUGAUCAUGCAAGUAUAAUGUUCUAAAAUAGGCGUAAUGCCAUAGCACUCUGUCAUAUAUUUGAAGUACCGAUCACCCUCUUCUACGUUAUUCAUCCGCACACAAGCACAUAAAACACCUACAAAAGUGAUUGCAUCUGGUUUAAUAUUUGCCUCCUCCAUCUGUGCAAAAACAGCAAGUGCCUCCUUGCCACAACCGUGCACCCCCAAGCUAGUGAUCAUCGAAUUCCAAGCAGCCAAACUCUUAACUUGCAUCUUAUCAAAUACUUGCUUGGCGUCCACCAAACUACCACAUUUGCUGUACAUGUCAAUAAGAGCAGUCCCAAGGAAAACCUCCAGUUUGAAUCCAUUUUUCAGAGCAUAGUCAUGAAGCCAGCUACCCAACUGGAGACUUCCCAGUUCAGUACAUGCUUUUAACAAGCCAACCAGCGUAAACUCAUUGGGCCUAACAUUAUAAAGCUGCAUUCUCCAUAACAAUUCAAACGCCUCCUCGGGGCAUUGGUUCUUCACAUACCCAUUAAUCAUUGCUGUCCAAGAAACAACAUUUCUCUUUGGCAUUUGGUCGAAAGGCCCACACGCAGCACCUAGUUCCCCACAAGCAACAAGUCCAGCAACGAAGGUGGUCCACGAAACAAC
rnacentral:misc_RNA from 1 species